AGAGGGGAGUCACAAUGAAACAGGAAGGCUGUCCAAGAAGCUGGGGCCAGUGGGUGAGACUAAGGACCCAGCAACAGUGGCGCAGCCAAAGCAAGCUGCCUGGAAGCCAGUAUUCUAUUAAUUGUCUUCAGAUGAAGAUACAGAACUCUCAACUUCUCCUGUGCCAUGUCUUCCUGGAUGCUGCCAUGUUCCCGCCUUGAUGAUAACAGACUGAACCUCUGGACCUGUAAGCCAGCCCCAAUUAAAUGUUGUCCUUAUAAGAUUUGCCUUGGUCAUGGUGUGUGCGCACAGCAGUAAAACCCUAAGACGGAGGCUGAUUGUAAAUAUAAAGGUUGUGAGUUUGUCUCUCAUCCAGGAACUAAUAACCAGGGCAGGGUAGAAACCCUGGUCUGGGACUUAAAUAUUUAAUACAAUAAUACCACCAGAGCCUAGUGAGAUUUCUAGAAGCGUUGCAACUUUGAAAUGCACUCUGGGCCACCGUGAGGACAGGUUAAGGAAUCAUCUACCUCAGAUCUCAAUCGGAAGCUCUUUGCGUGAGAACUUCCUCUCCACAGCCAGCGUGCUCCAAGGAGGACAGGAACGUGAAGUCCCAUGUGGCUAGCUUCUCAUCCUGCCUGCCUCGCUG
rnacentral:lncRNA from 1 species